rnacentral:miRNA from 1 species
UACGUCGAAUAUCGACGUCAUAAACACCAAAGUUGAUUGUGUUUAUUACGUCGAAUAUCGACGUCAUAAAUACCAAAGUUGAUCGUGUUUAUUACGUCGAAUAUCGACGUCAUAAACACCAAAGGUGAUCGUGUUUAUUAAGUGGAAUAUCGACGUCAUAUACACCAAAGUUGGUCGUGUUUAUUACGUCGAAUAUCGACGUCAUAAACACCAAAGUUGAUCGUGUUUAUGACGUUGAAUAUCGACGUCAUAAACACCAAAGUUGAUCGUGUUUAUGACGUCGAGAAUCGACAUC